UUUAGCAGUUACAACAGGGAUAUCUACGCCCUUCAACAACUUGGCUAUUAUAUACAAGCAACAGGGAAAUUAUGCAGAAGCGAUAGCCUGUUACAAUGAAGUUCUUCGCAGACUGCUACUGAUGGUCUUGUCAAUAGAGGGAACAAGAUGGCAUCAGAGAAAUCACAGAAAAUAGGGGGCUUAGUGCAGGAUAUUCAGGAU